rnacentral:rRNA from 1 species
CCUACGGGUGGCUGCAGUGAGGAAUAUUGGUCAAUGGGCGGGAGCCUGAACCAGCCAAGCAGCGUGAGGGAAGAAGGUACAGCGUAUCGUAAACCUCUUUUGUACGGGAACAAAGGCGGGGACUAGUCCCCGGAUGAGGGUACCUGAAGAAAAAGCAUCGGCUAACUCAGUGCCAGAAGCCGCGGUAAUACGGAGGAUGCGAGCGUUAUCCGGAUUUAAUGGGUUUAAGGGGUGCGCAGGCGGCCUGUUAAGUUAGCGGUAAAAGCCCGGGGCUCAACCCCGGCGAGCCGUGGAAACUGGCGGGCUGGAGUUGGAGAGAGGUACGCGGAAUGCGUGGUGUAGCGGUGAAAUGCUUAGAUAUCGCGCAGAACCCCGAUUGCGAAGGCAGCGUACCGGCUCCACACUGACGCUGAGGCACGAAAGCGUGGGUAUCGAACAGGAUUAGAUACCCCGGUAGUC